ACAGGGCAAUAUAACAAGAGGGCUGCUCUCUCCUUGCAAUCAAAGAAGGAAAAGAGAAUUGUAAUUUUUCAUUCAUUGGGACCCAGUGGCCCCUACCUCCACCUCAGGGACACACAGGCUCUAAAGAGGAUGCUGUGGAUAAACCCAAGAAACUGUCAGUUUAGAAGCCCACUCACAUUGUCAUGGAAACAAGAGAACCAACAGCAGAGCACCAUCAUCUCUUUAAGAACAACUAGCAUCAGUAGCUAGAGCAGAUUUAGCCACUGCAAUGUCACUAGCCACUGCAAUGUCACUGACAUAACCAUCAAAAAUAAUUCCUCCUCAAAGGGACUUGAGCCUUCACUAGUAUAGAGUUCAGAGCUCAGAGUGAAGUCAGGCAAACCUAGGUUUGCAACCCAUCUCUGCUAUUCCCCAGCUGUGUGACCAUAAACUUUUUAGCUGUCUUGUUCUCCCAUCUGUGUGGUGAGAUAAUAAUAUCAAACAUCUCUUCAGAUUGCUAUGAAAAUUUGGAGAAAAUAAUAGUUUCAGAGAUUUAACAUAUUCUUCAGAAUCUAAUUAAAAAAACAUGUUUUUAACUUUUGAAUAUCUUUUAUACAUUUUAUAGUACAUAUAAAGUACAUUAAAUAUAAAUACUCAGCUAAAUAAGUUAUUUGAACAUUAAGACCACCACUCAGAUUUUGCAAGUUUCCUUUGCUUCUUUUCAGAAUGUCUGUCAUUUUUUCAUCAUCUCCAACUCUGCUAAAAUUUUCAAGGUUUCCUUUUAGUUCCUUAAAUAUACUAAACCAGGGUAUUUUUAAAUAUCUAUUAAUUCUGUGUAGUCUCAUUAUAUCAGCUUGUCUCUCAGUGUGCCAGGUCAGUUUUUAUCAUGUGAUGGACAUAGUAUUUUUAGGAAUAAUUUUACGCCUCCAAUGAUACUGUCUUCCCCCAGAAAGGUGUUGUUGUUGUUUGCUUGGAUCGGGCACCCUGAGGUACCAGAAAUCGCCUUUAUCUCGUUAUAGGGAUUGAGUUCUUCUGGGCCAUAUACCUAACUCAAGCCUGGACCAAUUAGCUCUCCAGUCAUCCUUAUAUCUUUAGCCCUUCAUGGAUCUAAACCUAAAGCACUGCAUGGGGAUUUGUUACAGAUCCUAGACUCCAGCUUCUGCCUCUUUGGUUCCACAAACCUGUCAAAAAUACUUCUUAGCAUUUUUACCAUCUCUUUAAUAAUCUGCAAAUGUAAGCAACCUGAAGGCUCAUCUCAUCUCUCUGAAUAUCUGUUUCCACCUAGCUCUUGGCUCCACAAUCCUUUAGCAUAUUUAGGGCUCUUCUAUACCUUUAAGUACCUGUUUCUUCAACGUUGUCCAACUAUUAUUUUUGUUGAGAAUGUUUGUUAGAAUUACCUAGAGUGCUAUUACCAGAAAUGAAGUAUUGUCUCUAUUUAAUUACCCACAAUGAAUUGACCCACUUACUAAACAGAACUACUGCUUUAUUUGUGCCUCUCAUAAUACUUAGCACUUCCAACCUUGUAUUAUAAUUAUUUUUUAACAUUUCUCUAACUUAAUUAGAUUUUUUUAGCUUUUCCAGGACAGAAUACAUAAUCAUGUCUGACUCAUCUAUGCACUAUCCCCAAUUUCUGGAUAUUAUUCACACUCAACUUGCAGGAACUGUUAUGUGAAUGAAUAAACCCCAAUGUCUCCUAUUUGCACAAACUGAACACUUCUGACAUAGAACUUCUAAAUUAUCUUAAACCGUGUAAUGAGUCAUCUCAGUAGAAAUAGCAAGUAAGCCAUAAUCCCAAAUAUCAAUUUUGAUUUGUAUUAACGAGUUCCUCCAGAGCUUGUAUGAUAAGCAGUCACAUAUCUGGAGAAAUAAAUGAGUAUUAGGAUAUAACAAAUGAAAGCUUGGAUACCCCAGGUUGUAGUUUUAAUACUGAUCUGCAUAUUUCAUUCAUUAUUAGCACAGGUGACUCAAACUGUGUAGCCAUUGCUCUCAUUAAAAUUCAUUCACUCCCUCUGGAAUUCAUGGCAGCCAUCUGGCCAAGUAUUGGUUUCUUAUAUUUGAAACUCAAUUGCACUGAAGUCACUGAAUCUCUCAAUCAAUUACAAAGGAUCUGAGCUCUUAGGGCUUACAUUGAUUGGCCACCAUUUUCCUAAUGGUGUCAUAGUCUCUGUAAUUACCUAUUUGACAGGAGAGGUGCCUGCUUUCUGAAGGCUAUAUAUCCUAGCUCUUCAUUUACCUAAAAUGUUAGUUGGCAGCCCUCAUAAGAGCAUCAGCUAUGAAAUGUGAUUAGAGUUAAUGUAAGUGUAACAGAGUGUUCUCAUCUCAUCUCCGCUUACUGCAUAUGGUUGCCAUAUAUUAGCCUAUCACAUGGUUUGCAUUUUUGAAGCAACAUCAAUGUACAUUUUUGUUAUAAUUCAUUAAGAGCAAAAAUUUAUGCAUUUGCAUAUACAUUCAUGUGCAUACCCAUACUCAAAAAUUUCCAUUUAAUUCAGAAAGAUAACAGCUCUUUUUCCAAAUAUAGAAAACCUUCUGGCCCUCAGAACAUGAAGCAUAUUGAUCAUGCCUCUUUAAUAGACACACAAAAAAUAAUUAAGACCCCCUUCCUGAAUAUAUCGCAAUAAGUAGAAAGAAAACUGCUGUUAGAUUCAGACACAAUUUAGAUUCUACUGUAAACUACCUAUAUGGUAUAAGAAAAAAUUUUAAAUCUUUCUGAGCCUAUCUUUUAAUUUAUAGAAUUGAAAUAUUAGGAUCACUUUAUUUUAACAAUUAUAAUGUAGUUAUAAGUUUAUUAUAAUAUUUUUGCAGAGUUGAAAUAACAAAAAUAAAGCUCCUAGCAUAGUACAUAGAAAAUUUGACAUUUCAUUAGUCAGGUUUUGAUUAAUAAAGAAACUAUAAGCAUCCUGAAAUCUCAGUGGUUUACAACAGCACACAUCUGCUUCUUGUUCAGGAAUUUCCUGAAUGAGUGUGGCUCUGCUGAAUGGAUUUGAGCUUACCUGUCCAGUUCAACCGCACUUGGCUCCAGUCUAUAGUUUGAGUUCAGAUUGGCUCCACGAGUCUCUCUCUUAGGGAUUCAGGAUGAAAUGCACAUCUCAGGCAUGCUCUUCUCACUGUGGACAACAGAAGUGUAAGAAGGCUGGAGGAAAUUUGCUCAGACUUCACACACUAUCACUUUUAUACAAUUUUUUUAUUAUUAUUAUAGUUGGUUUACAAUGUUUCUUUAAGUUCUGUUGUACAACAAAGUGACCUAAUCACACACAUUUCCCUGUACCCCACUGCCCAACCAUUCCAAAUAUAACAGUUUGCAUCCAAAAAAACAUAAAAAAGACCCAUCCAUCCCACUUCUUCCUCUUUCCCCCCUGGGAACCCCAGGUCUCUUUUCUUUGGCCAUGAUCUGUUUCUGUGUUUUUAGAUGGAUCAUCUGUUUCAUAUUUUAGAUUCCACAAAUAAGUGAUAUCAUACGGUAUUUUUUUUUUUCUGGCUUACUUUACUCAGUAUGAGAGUCUCUAGUCCCACCCAUGUUGCUGCAAAUGGCAUUAGUUUGUCUUUUUUAUGGAUGAGUAAUAUUCCAUUCCACAUAUGCACCACGUUUUCUUAAUCCAUUAUAAACAUUUUACUGGCCUAGCAAGCUAUUUGGGCAACCCCAAAGUCAGUGUGGCAGAGAAGUGUGUUCCAGUCACAGGGAAUCGCUCCCCAGGAUAGGGAAAAAGGAACAACUAUGAAUAAAUGCUCACUACUACAUAAUUCAAGUCAUGGUAGUUGCUGUAAUUAGCUAUUGUAGGACAUUGUGAUGGUUCUAUCUACAAAAACAUCCUGAGAUCUGUUGGAGGAGGUAAUGGAGAGGAUGUAACAGAGAGGAUGUAACAGAGGUCCUGUGUGACCUGAAAACUGGAGAAGGGCAAUCUGAGGUUCUUCUCCUCCAUCAUUCUAUAGCCAGAACCAUUACAAUGAUGCAACCACCAGAGAGACAUGUGUUGUUAGGACCAUGCAUGACUGAAUCCUGUUAAGGUCUUUAUGUAAACUCUUAAGAUUCUGGCAGGCAAGUACAGAGAUCUACUUGUGACCACCCAAAACAAACUUAGUAUGUAAACUCCCUUGCUUAUUAAAACCAUCACCUACCAAUCUGAAGAGGUCUGCUUCUUUCUUCUGUCUCUAUUUGUCCUCUGUCUAUGAGGCCCAGUUUCAGUUUUGUACCCAGGGAAUGAACAAGGAUGUGAACUAACAAGAUCUCAUAGCAAAUUAUAGAAAUAUUGUCCCAAUUAAUUCUAAGAGAUCAAGCCUUUUCCUGAGGAAUUUUUGUUUGUUUGUUUAUUUGUUUUUUGGCCUCAUUUAUGGCAUAUGGAAGUUCCACCAUCAGGAAUGGAUCACAUCCCUGAGCCACAACUGCAAUCUAUGAAACAGCUGCAGUAAUGCUGGAUCUUUAACCCACUGCUCCAGGGCCAGGUGAAGAAGCUUUUAUUAGAUGAUUUGAGUGCUUUGCUUUACUUUUUUUGCCUUGCUCACAGCAUGUAGAAGUUCCCGGGCCAGGGAUAGAACCUGUGACACAGCAGCAACCUGAGCCACAGCACUGACAAUGCAGGAUCCUUAACCUGCUGUGCCACAAUGGAACUCUGGAGUACCUUAUUUUAAGCCACUAUGGUUAUUCAUUGGACAGGCAGUAACUGAAGGAAGCAGUAGCGUAUUACAUAAUACUUUCCUAAGCCCUCUUUAAAAAAUAAAAUGUACGCAUAUUUUAUUUUAACAUUGCAUAUAUAAUAAAAUAUACAUGAAUAAGUGUUUAUUAAAAUAGUACAUAUAGCAUUUGGCUCUACUUGCUAUUUAUAAACCACAACAACCCUGUUAAAGUAGGCAAAAUAAUACUUUCUAAAAUACAAUAA
rnacentral:lncRNA from 1 species